UACGAAGGGUGCAAGCGUUACUCGGAAUUACUGGGCGUAAAGCGUGCGUAGGUGGUGUGUCGCGUCGGCCGUGAAAACCUGCAGCUUAACUGUGGGCUUGCGGUCGAUACGGGCAUCACUGGAGUUCGGCAGGGGAGACUGGAAUUCCUGGUGUAGCGGUGAAAUGCGUAGAUAUCAGGAGGAACACCUGUGGUGUAGACGGCUUACUGGGCCAUGACUGACGCUGAGGCACGAAAGCGUGGGGAGCAAACAGG
rnacentral:rRNA from 1 species